rnacentral:tRNA from 1 species
GCACUAGUAGCUCAGCACAAGAGCGUCGGUCUUGUAAACCGGAUGUCGGAGGUUAGAUUCCUCCCUACUGCU